UACAGAGGGUGCAAGCGUUAAUCGGAAUUACUGGGCGUAAAGGGUGUGUAGGUGGUUAUUUAAGUCAGGUGUGAAAACCCCGAGCUUAACUCGGGACGUGCGCUUGAUACUGAAUGACUAGAGUGUAGUAGAGGGUAGCGGAAUUUCCGGUGUAGCGGUGAAAUGCGUAGAUAUCGGAAGGAACAUCAGUGGCGAAGGCGGCUACCUGGACUAAUACUGACACUGAGACACGAAAGCAUGGGUAGCAAACAGG
rnacentral:rRNA from 1 species